rnacentral:siRNA from 1 species
UGUGAAGUCAUGUGUAGAAACCA